rnacentral:rRNA from 1 species
GGAGGAUCCAAGCGUUAUCCGGAAUCAUUGGGUUUAAAGGGUCCGUAGGCGGUUUAAUAAGUCAGUGGUGAAAGCCCAUCGCUCAACGGUGGAACGGCCAUUGAUACUGUUAGACUUGAAUUAUUAGGAAGUAACUAGAAUAUGUAGUGUAGCGUGAAAUGCUUAGAGAUUACAUGGAAUACCAAUUGCGAAGGCAGGUUACUACUAAUGGAUUGACGCUGAUGGACGAAAGCGUGGGUAGCGAACAGGAUUAGAUACCCUGGUAGUCCACGCCGUAAACGAUGGAUACUAGCUGUUGGGAGCAAUCUCAGUGGCUAAGCGAAAGUGAUAAGUAUCCCACCUGGGGAGUACGUUCGCAAGAAU